GGUGGGUUGGCAGAGUGGUUUAAUGCACUGGUCUUGAAAACCAGAGUACCUGAAAAGGUACCGCAGGUUCAAAUCCUGCACCCACCGCCU
rnacentral:tRNA from 1 species